rnacentral:rRNA from 1 species
UACGGGGGGAGCAAGCGUUGUUCGGAUUUACUGGGCGUAAAGGGCGCGUAGGCGGCCACCGCAAGUCAAUUGUGAAAUCUCCGGGCUUAACUCGGAAAGGUCAACUGAUACUGCGGGGCUAGAGUGCGGAAGGGGCAACUGGAAUUCUCGGUGUAGCGGUGAAAUGCGUAGAUAAUCGAGAGGAACACCUGCGGCGAAGGCGGGUUGCUGGGCUGAUACUGACGCUGAGGCGCGAAAGCGUGGGGAGCGAACAGG